rnacentral:tRNA from 1 species
UAGCUCAGUGGUAGAGCGCUUGCCUUGCAUGCAUGAAGCCCUGGGUUCAGUUCCUCAG